GAUUCUUCGGAUGAAUAUGCUGAGUGGCGGACGGGUGAGUAACGCGUGGGUACCUGCCUUAUACAGGGGGAUAACAGUCAGAAAUGGCUGCUAAUACCGCAUAAGGCUGCAUGGCAAAAACUCCGGUGGUAUAAGAUGGACCCGCGUUGGAUUAGCUUGUUGGUGGGGUAACGGCCCACCAAGGCGACGAUCCAUAGCCGGCCUGAGAGGGUGAACGGCCACAUUGGGACUGAGACACGGCCCAGACUCCUACGGGAGGCAGCAGUGGGGAAUAUUGCACAAUGGGGGAAACCCUGAUGCAGCGACGCCGCGUGAAGGAAGAAGUAUCUCGGUAUGUAAACUUCUAUCAGCAGGGAAGAUAGUGACGGUACCUGACUAAGAAGCCCCGGCUAACUACGUGCCAGCAGCCGCGGUAAUACGUAGGGGGCAAGCGUUAUCCGGAUUUACUGGGUGUAAAGGGAGCGUAGACGGUGUGGCAAGUCUGAUGUGAAAGGCAUGGGCUCAACCUGUGGACUGCAUUGGAAACUGUCAUACUUGAGUGCCGGAGGGGUAAGCGGAAUUCCUAGUGUAGCGGUGAAAUGCGUAGAUAUUAGGAGGAACACCAGUGGCGAAGGCGGCUUACUGGACGGUAACUGACGUUGAGGCUCGAAAGCGUGAGGAGCAAACAGGAUUAGAUACCCUGGUAGUCCACGCCGUANACGAUGAAUACUAG
rnacentral:rRNA from 1 species